UACGAAGGGAGCGAGCGUUGUUCGGAAUCACUGGGCUUAAAGCGUGCGUAGGUGGAUUGGUAAGUAAGGCGUGAAAUCCCAGGGCUUAACCCUGGAACUGCUCUUUAGACUGCCUGUCUGGAAUUCGGAAGAGGUUGGUGGAACUCCCAGUGUAGAGGUGAAAUUCGUAGAUAUUCGGAAGAACACCAGUGGCGAAGGCGGCUCACUGGCCCGUUACCGACGCUCAGGCGCGACAGCGUGGGGAGCAAACAGG
rnacentral:rRNA from 1 species